rnacentral:rRNA from 1 species
AGAGCGAACGCUGGCGGCAGGCUUAACACAUGCAAGUCGAGCGGGCGUAGCAAUACGUCAGCGGCAGACGGGUGAGUAACGCGUGGGAACAUACCUUUUGGUUCGGAACAACACAGGGAAACUUGUGCUAAUACCGGAUAAGCCCUUACGGGGAAAGAUUUAUCGCCGAAAGAUUGGCCCGCGUCUGAUUAGCUAGUUGGUGGGGUAAAGGCCUACCAAGGCUACGAUCAGUAGCUGGUCUGAGAGGAUGAUCAGCCACACUGGGACUGAGACACGGCCCAGACUCCUACGGGAGGCAGCAGUAGGGAAUCUUGCGCAAUGGGCGAAAGCCUGACGCAGCCAUGCCGCGUGAAUGAUGAAGGUCUUAGGAUUGUAAAAUUCUUUCAGCGGGGACGAUAAUGACGGUACCCGCAGAAGAAGCCCGGCUAACUUCGCGCCAGCAGCCGC